GAUGAACGCUGGUGGCGUGCUUAACACAUGCAAGUCGAACGGGGUUAUGAUGUGCGAAGGAAUUAGCUUGCUAAGGACGGAGCUUUUCAUAACCUAGUGGCGGACGGGUGAGUAACGCGUGGGGAACCUGCCCUGUACAGGGGGAUAACACUUAGAAAUAGGUGCUAAUACCGCAUAAGCGCACAGUACCGCAUGGUACAGUGUGAAAAACUCCGGUGGUACAGGAUGGCUCCGCGUCUGAUUAGCUAGUUGGUGAGGUAACGGCCCACCAAGGCGACGAUCAGUAGCCGGCCUGAGAGGGUGAACGGCCACAUUGGGACUGAGACACGGCCCAAACUCCUACGGGAGGCAGCAGUGGGGGAUAUUGGACAAUGGGGGGAACCCUGAUCCAGCGACGCCGCGUGAGUGAAGAAGUAUUUCGGUAUGUAAAGCUCUAUCAGCAGGGAAGAAAGUGACGGUACCUGACUAAGAAGCCCCGGCUAACUACGUGCCAGCAGCCGCGGUAAUACGUAGGGGGCAAGCGUUAUC
rnacentral:rRNA from 1 species